CCCUUAGAUGUUCUGGGCCGCACGCGCGCUACACUGAUGCAUUCAACGAGCCUAUCCUUGACCGACAGGUCCGGGUAAUCUUUGAAUCUGCAUCGUGACGGGGAUAGAUUAUUGCAAUUAUUAAUCUUCAACGAGGAAUGCCUAGUAGGCGCAAGUCAUCAGCUUGCAUUGAUUACGUCCCUGCCCUUUGUACACACCGCCCGUCGCUCCUACCGAUUGAAUGAUCCGAUGAAUACCAUGGAUUGAGAGUACGAAUGGGUUCGCUCAUUUCUGCUGCUCGAGAAGUGGAGUAAAUCUUAUCAUUUAGAGGAAGGAGAAGUCGUAACA
rnacentral:rRNA from 1 species